GUGCUCUUGUGAUUGUGACUGACACAGGCAGCACCCUUUUGCAGAAGUAGAUGUGCGUUGCUGAGAAAUUUUCUGCCUAAGUUCUGGUUUUCUUUGCAGCACCCAGCAUUUGUUUCUAACACAGGGAAAGAGUGAGCUGGAGAAACCUCUCAAAUUCAAGAAAGCGUAAAGCAAAUUGAACAAUACGGGUGAGGAGCACGGACUAUUCUCUCAUGUUGAAUGUGGCACUUUUUACAUACAAGCAGGAGAGCAACUACACCAAGAUUUUGGAAAACAUGUUAUGUAAGGUUAAUUGUGACCUCUAUGAUGGGGAUAUGAUAAAGAAGAAAAGUACCUCACAGCGAUGAUUGGCAUGUGAUCACUUAGCCAAUGAGAUAAGAGGCUGUAGAAACGAUGUGAUAAUGACAUCUCCUGAGUUGCAGGUCCAUAUUAGAAGUGGAUAUGAAGUAAACAUUGAGCUUUCCUCACAUUUAAUUAACAAGCUUUAUUAUAGAUACAGCUCAAAUUAGUUAAUUCAGGAAGCUUAUUUUGUAGAAAUUAAAACAUUAAUAAACACAUACAUUUAGAAAUAAAGAACUCGGCUGACCCUUUGACUCUUUGAAACAAGUGGCCUUCCAUGCUGUGAAAGAUUGUAGCCACUCUUUGAGACAUUGGAAUGGUGUCCAUUGCAUUUUAUCAAGUUAACUAUAGGUCAGCCUGGGAAAUCUGAAGUUUCCUUAUCUCCUGUCACUGUGGUUGCUGUGAGAUUUUGUGUCAUCACUGUGCUGUCUUCCCUCUCCACAUGAAGAUUUAAGGAAUCCUGUUCCUUCUUUCUCUC
rnacentral:lncRNA from 1 species